rnacentral:rRNA from 1 species
UACAGAGGGUGCGAGCGUUAAUCGGAAUUACUGGGCGUAAAGCGUGCGUAGGCGGUCAAGUAAGUCGGGUGUGAAAGCCCCGGGCUCAACCUGGGAAUUGCAUUCGAGACUGCGUGGCUAGGGUGCGGAAGAGGGAAGCGGAAUUUCCGGUGUAGCGGUGAAAUGCGUAGAUAUCGGAAGGAACACCAGUGGCGAAAGCGGCUUCCUGGUCCAGCACCGACGUUCAGGCACGAAAGCGUGGGGAGCAAACAGG